UUAGUAUUCGCUAUGUCCGACAGAUGUCGCCAGCGUGUAAGAACACGUAUCAGGGUAUUGAUUGGUAUAAAACAUUGUUUUUGGGCUUUGAACUGUCUGUUUGCCUUGGAUCUAAUUAAACAUUUUAUGUAUGAUGUACACAAUUAAUAACAAUAAUUGACACCAUCUGCAAAACUGAGUGGAUACAGUCAAAAAAAAAGAAAAAUGUGUUGCAUAACCUCAAAAAAGUCUGUAUAAUUCAAAGAAAGACACCCAAGUAUUUCAGUAAAGUUUGCAGUAUAUUCUUGUAUAUGUGUAUUGUUAAACAGGACAUGAGUUUAUGAAACGAUAAGUAUGUGUACAACACUUAGAAUGAGAAUUGUAUGUAUGGUGCAUAGACACUGAAAGUAUUACUUCUAAUUGAACUUGUUGGUGAUAUGACAAUAGAGUACAAACAGUACAUAAUGACAGACUAACUCGAUGACAAUAGUUCCGAGGCUCAUUGAAAAUUUUCCUUUUUUUAAGUUAUACUUUUCUGCAUCAAGCCUUGAGAAUUGUAAAUGCUAGCUGCAAAUGCAGAUCUACAAGUCAUCAACUUCAAAUAUCUCAUAAACUGUUAAAUUACUGCAUCAGCAACUUACACAUCAUUAGAUUACAUGCAUUCAUUUUUAUUUAAUUGCAUGGAUCUCUAAGGUAGUUGGAUGGUAGUAGGAUGUGUUAUAAGUCUGAAUAAUACAUGUGCAAUUUGUACAGUUGUAAAGAUAUCACAUAGUAUAAGGUUUUACAUAAAAUACAAAUAAAUCCACCCAUUAUAUUCUAUUGAUACAUUAUACUACCCAUUAUAAUAUAUUUUGACCAGAAAACUUUAAGGAAUUAUUUGUAAUGUAUUAAUAACUGUACAUAGUUAUGCACUUGCAAUACCAGGAACUCAAACAUACCAUGUUUUUAACCCAUUAGACUCCAGAGAGGUCACUACAGCUGUUUCUGUUCUGUCCACAUCGUUUAUAACACCAAAUAACAGGUGUGAGAAGUUAAACAGCACAGACAUAUAUUGCCUAUGAUUAUGAUGGUUUGUUGUUCAAGAAAAACAAGAAUGUUCUGUGAAAAAUUUAUUCAGCCUCAUUGACCACUUUCUGUUUUUGUUUUUGUUUUCACCUCAGAAAGAAGAUUCUUUAUGGAUUGAAGAUAAUGUAAUGCUCCAAGCAUCAAGAUAGGUCAAACAUAUAAAAUGCUACCAGAAUUAUUAUCCUGAAUUGGGAAGGAACAUAUAAGUAGUGUUGUUAUUGAUCAUGUACUAACCACAAAUGCAAAGGUACUUGGACGGGAACCUACGUGUGCUUCAGAGUACUAACAUCAGAGAGCGCUAAUAGCCAGAGUAGCUGAUGCGCCUAUCAACCCAUAACCUAUAGCAGAGUUUGUCUUGUGAUGCUGAUUGACGGGCAAGGUGCAUUGCAGCUGGCAUUCAGAGUUAAAGAGCUACGUGAGAUGCUGGCCCUUCCGGACUGUCGCAUUGUGUAACCUGCCACAUUUUGAAGCUGUCCUUCCUCUCGUGCCAAGAAUUGAUUCAUUCAGCAAAAGAACACGUGGUUAGAGACUGCCAAACCCAUCAACUAAAAUAAUGAUCUAGCAUGAGUAUGUCACAAGUAUCAAAGAAAGAGAAGCCAUGUCUUUGGAAUGAUUCUCUUCUCACUGGGAAAUGGAGCUGAGUUUGGAUUUGCUGUUUAGAAUCUUGUCAGGUACGCUGCAGUUAUCACGUUGACUCUUUUACUUUUUCUCGUACAUUUUACUUGAAUGAAAUGCAUGACAUCUGUAUAUAUAUUUGUUAAAUUUAUGAAUAUUUAUUAUUGCCAUUUCCAUGGUACAGUGACCAUUUGUUGUUAAGGGACUUUUCACAGUGUUAUAACUAUUGGCUCAAUAAUUAUGUUUAAAGAGGUCAACUGUGCUCUUGUGGUUAGUAAUUGCUAUUUGCUUGCGGACACAUGUCCCUAAAAGUGCUCUAAUACACCGAACUACAAAUGAGUUGUUAAAACCUCUGCAGAAAAAUUUUAUGCUUUAAGUGCACCUAGGUUUAUAACUGUCUGACCUGAAUGGCCUAAUGUGCUUUAGUGAAUUUUGUGACAGAGAAGUGGGUUGCAUUUCUUUAGCAGUUAAAAAUAGACAACAAAUUAAAAAAUAUAUAUAUUUUUUAAAUUAUUAUUUGUGCAUUACAUACUUUACUAUAUGUUGUUAAUAUUUGUUUCCAAGUGAAGAGAUGUAAAAGUUAAGUUUGUAAGUUCCUGACAGACUUUACAGGAACAGUACUAUCAGCAAAUUUAAUUUUGUUAAGAUAUAAGGUUCUCAAUGGCUGUGAGUAUGAUGAUGACUGUGUUUCGAGUUAUAGAGUUAUGCAGACUGGUAGAAGCUUACCAACAUGUCAGAGAUCCUGGCUGUCCCCAUCAACAGUGUGAUGACUCUGUGGUGCUACAAGCCACAAGACGCUGCCUUUGAAUUUUGUUUAUCACAGAAGAGACCUUUCGAAUCAGAAGCAAAAACCUCUCUGCAGUCAUCACAUGUACACCCUGCUUUGUCAGUAGAUUGUUUCGAAAUGUUAAAUUUUAUCAAACGUCAGGCUUGAAGGCCAUGUUCUUGUCUGAACAUAUGAAGGAAUGAAGUAGACAGUAGAAGCUUCAAUGUUUCAAGUUUUAAUGCGAAAAUUAAUUUAGUCUUACUGCAACAGAUUGAAAAUCAGUAACAAUAUUUCUAUUUGCCUGCACUCUACAAGUGUGUACUUGCCAAAGCAAAUACUUCAUUGCUGUGGUAAUGUACUUGGGCCCCCAGUAAUUACUGAGGAUUUGGGGACUCAGAUGUGGAAUGUCAAGUAACUGAACAUUAAAUUCAUAAAAAUCAAACACUGGAAUGGCAGUUAUUAAAAUAAAAUAUUAUCACUAAGUUAGGCAUUGAACUCCAUCAUGUCAGAUACACCAUUAAUGGGA